rnacentral:rRNA from 1 species
UACGUAGGGUGCAAGCGUUAAUCGGAAUUACUGGGCGUAAAGCGUGCGCAGGCGGUUGUGCAAGACAGAUGUGAAAUCCCCGGGCUCAACCUGGGAAUUGCAUUUGUGACUGCACGGCUAGAGUGUGUCAGAGGGGGGUAGAAUUCCACGUGUGAGCAGUGAAAUGCGUAGAGAUGAUGGAGGAAUACCGAUGGCGAAGGCAGCCCCCUGGGAUAACACUGACGCCUGCA